GACGAACGCUGGCGGCGUGCCUAAUACAUGCAAGUUGAGCGCAGGAAGCUGACGGAACUCUUCGGAGGGAAGGCAGUGGAAUGAGCGGCGGACAGGUGAGUAACACGUAAGGAACCUGCCUCAAGGAUUGGGAUAACUCCGAGAAAUCGGAGCUAAUACCGGAUAGUUCAACGGACCGCAUGGUCCGCUGAUGAAAGGCGCUCCGGCGUCACCUUGAGAUGGCCUUGCGGUGCAUUAGCUAGUUGGUGGGGUAACGGCUCACCAAGGCGACGAUGCAUAGCCGACCUGAGAGGGUGAUCGGCCACACUGGGACUGAGAAACGGCCCAGACUCCUACGGGAGGCAGCAGUAGGGAAUCUUCCACAAUGGACGAAAGUCUGAUGGAGCAACGCCGCGUGAGUGAUGAAGGUUUUCGGAUCGUAAAACUCUGUUGUAAGGGAAGAACACGUACGAGAGGAAAUGCUCGUACCUUGACGGUACCUUACGAGAAAGCCACGGCUAACUACGUGCCAGCAGCCGCCGUAA
rnacentral:rRNA from 1 species